AAAUUAUAUUAGCAUUGUUAAUAUUGAAAUACUUCUUCCUUGCAACCAAUACUUGUUUUGUGAGGGUGGAUACUCCAACCUGCAUCUUGUAAUGUGGUUGGAGAAGACUGAGAGGAAGGGGGG
rnacentral:lncRNA from 1 species